AGGGUAUCAUUAGGAUUAGCCUGCUCCAGUUGACUGCUGAUGGCUACUAAAUCACCUUCUUCAGGAAGAUUCUGAAGACUCCUCUAUAAAGGAUGCUCUUCCAGGCUUUCCUAUCUGGCACGACUGCGUGGGAAAUGAGAGGAGGCAUACCAUACUUCACAGAAUGGGCCGCAUUGCCAUAGCCAGGACUGGGACAGCUUUCCGUGGAACCUACAGCCCGAUGGAUGCUUAGAACGAGGACAUCUCACAUUUUCAUCUAGUAGCUGUAGAAUUCAAAACUAUAACUUGCGAUUGCAUAUUAAUACAGGAUAACUGAGCAUGUAAAAUGAUGACUUCUUUUUGCUCCAAGGAUUUGCAACUUUUUAUUGGAUAUUUAAGGACUAAAGAAUGGCAAACUGUUUUCCUUUGUUGUCCAUUUUUGAAGACAUGAGCCAGAAGCUCUCAUAGAAGUAGGACAUACGACAAAAAGUGGAUUUUAUAUGACAGGUGGCGACAACCAGCUCACUGGUUGGACCGAGAAGAAGCUCCAAAGUACUUUGGAAAGCCAAACUUGCACCAAAAAAGGUCAUGGUCACUGGCGAUCUGCUGCCAGUCUGAUCCACUACAGCUCUCUGAAUCCCGGUGAAACCAUUACAUCAGAGAAGUAUGCUCAGCAAAUCUAUGAGAUACUCUGAGAACUGCAACAACCGCAGCCAGCAUUGGUCAACAGAAAAAGCCCAAUUCUCCAUGACAAUGCCUGACCAUGCAUGUCACACAACCAACGCUUCAAAAGUUGAACGAAUUGGGCUAGAAAGUUUUACCUCAUCCUCCAUAUUCACCUAACCUCUUGCGAACCAACUACCACUUCUUCCAUCAUCUUGACAACUUUUGGCAGGGAAAAUGCUUCCG